UGAGGGAUAUUGGGUAAUGGGGGAAACCCUGACCCAGCGACGCCGCGUGAGGGAAGACGGUCUUCGGAUUGUAAACCUCUGUCUUUGGGGACGAAAAAGGACGGUACCCAAGGAGGAAGCUCCGGCUAACUACGUGCCAGCAGCCGCGGUAAUACGUAGGGAGCGAGCGUUGUCCGGAAUUACUGGGUGUAAAGGGAGCGUAGGCGGGAUUGCAAGUUGGAUGUGAAAACUGCGGGCUCAACCCGGAGAGUGCAUUCAAAACUGCGAUUCUUGAGUGAAGUAGAGGCAAGCGGAAUUCCUAGUGUAGCGGUGAAAUGCGUAGAUAUUAGGAGGAACACCAGUGGCGAAGGCGGCUUGCUGGGCUUUUACUGACGCUGAGGCUCGAAAGUGUGGGGAGCAAACAGGAUUAGAUACC
rnacentral:rRNA from 1 species